GGCUAGUUGGUGAGGUAACGGCUUACCAAGGCGACGAUCUGUAGCGGGUCUGAGAGGAUGAUCCGCCACACUGGAACUGAGACACGGUCCAGACUCCUACGGGAGGCAGCAGUGGGGAAUUUUGGACAAUGGGGGCAACCCUGAUCCAGCCAUGCCGCGUGAGUGAAGAAGGCCUUCGGGUUGUAAAGCUCUUUCGGCCGGGAAGAAAUCGCAUGGGCCAAUACCCUGUGUGGAUGACGGUACCGGAAUAAGAAGCACCGGCUAACUACGUGCCAGCAGCCGCGGUAAUACGUAGGGUGCGAGCGUUAAUCGGAAUUACUGGGCGUAAAGCGUGCGCAGGCGGUUUUGUAAGACAGGCGUGAAAUCCCCGGGCUCAACCUGGGAACUGCGUUUGUGACUGCAAGGCUAGAGUACGGCAGAGGGGGGUGGAAUUCCACGUGUAGCAGUGAAAUGCGUAGAGAUGUGGAGGAACACCAAUGGCGAAGGCAGCCCCCUGGGUCGAUACUGACGCUCAUGCACGAAAGCGUGGGUAGCAAACAGGAUUAGAUACCCUGGUAGUCCACGCCCUAAACUAUGUCAACUAGGUGUUGGGUGGGUAAAACCAUUUAGUACCGUAGCUAACGCGUGAAGUUGACCGCCUGGGGAGUACGGCCGCAAGGUUAAAACUCAAAGGAAUUGACGGGGACCCGCACAAGCGGUGGAUGAUGUGGAUUAAUUCGAUGCAACGCGAAAAACCUUACCUACCCUUGACAUGCCAGGAACUUGCCAGAGAUGGCUUGGCGCCCGAAAGGGAGCCUGGACACAGGUGCUGCAUGGCUGUCGUCAGCUCGUGUUGUGAGAUGUUGGGUUAAGUCCCGCAACGAGCGCAACCCUUGUCGUUAAUUGCCAUCAUUUAGUUGGGCACUUUAGCGAGACUGCCGGUGACAAACCGGAGGAAGGUGGGGAUGACGUCAAGUCCUCAUGGCCCUUAUGGGUAGGGCUUCACACGUCAUACAAUGGUCGGUACAGAGGGUCGCCAAGCCGCGAGGUGGAGCCAAUCCCAGAAAGCCGAUCGUAGUCCGGAUUGCAGGCUGCAACUCGCCUGCAUGAAGUCGGAAUCGCUAGUAAUCGUGGAUCAGCAUGUCACGGUGAAUACGUUCCCGGGUCUUGUACACACCGCCCGUCACACCAUGGGAGCGGGUUCCGCCAGAAGUAGGUAGCCUAACCGCAAGGAGGGCGCUUACCACGGCGGGGUUCGUGACUGGGGUGAAGUCGUAACAAGGUAGCCGUAGGGGAACCUGCGGCUG
rnacentral:rRNA from 1 species